UUCCGUAGGUGAACCUGCGGAGGGAUCAUUACACAAUAAAAUAUGAAGGCUGUACGCGGCUGUGCUCCGGGCCAGUUUUGCGGAGGCUGGAUUAUUUAUCACCCUUGUCUUUUGCGCACUUGUUGUUUCCUGGGCGAGUUCGCCCGCCACCAGGACCACACCAUAAACCUUUUUUAUGCAGUUGCAAUCAGCGUCAGUAUAACAAAUGUAAAUCAUUUACAACUUUCAACAACGGAUCUCUUGGUUCUGGCAUCGAUGAAGAACGCAGCGAAAUGCGAUACGUAGUGUGAAUUGCAGAAUUCAGUGAAUCAUCGAAUCUUUGAACGCACAUUGCGCCCUUUGGUAUUCCAAAGGGCAUGCCUGUUCGAGCGUCAUUUGUACCUUCAAGCUUUGCUUGGUGUUGGGCGUCUUUUGUCUUUGGCCCCCAAAGACUCGCCUUAAAACGAUUGGCAGCCGGCCUACUGGUUUCGCAGCGCAGCACAUUUUUGCGCUUGCAAUCAGCAAAAGAGGACGGCAAUCCAUCAAGACUCAUUUUUACGUUUGACCUCGGAUCAGGUACGGAUACCCGCUGAACUUAAGCAUAUCAAUAAGCGGAGG
rnacentral:rRNA from 1 species